UGGUUGUAGUGUUAAGUGCAUAGAAAUAAAAUGGGUAGAAAGGCCAUUUCCAUUUAAAUCAACAUAGUAGAAUGGUCAGAGCAGCAGUCAUUUUUAUUUGUACCAUUGCC